UACCAUCCACGCUUCUCUACCUGGAAAAAAAAAAUCUAAGUCAAAGAAAGACAAAAGGAUAUUAUGCAGUUUUGUCAUAUUGAAUUAUAUUAUUAAUAGACAUCACUGCAGAUAAAAUUACAUUCUUUUAUAGUAUAUAGCAUCAAAAUCUUGAUUAACGCAACAACCUGGUUUGGAGUCUGUUUUCUUCAAUGUGAGGCCUUGAUUGUAAGCCAGCAAUGAAAUUGAUCUUUAUUUUGAUGGAUCUCAUUUAACGCCUGGGAACCAGCUCAGCUUGGAUCAGGGACUUUUCCUCCUCGGAUCAAGACAUGAUGCAAGAUUUAAACAAAAUAGAGUUUAAUUGUUGUCGUUUAAGCAUAAGUGUGUGAAGCACAAAUUUCCUCUUAAAGGAAUAUUUAUGGACCUGCUGCUCUUCUCACUUCCUUUCAUUUUCAUUCGUCCCUGGCAUAUGGGGAUUGGAUAAACUCAUCUGCACGUAAAUGUAGGAUAUACAAAUGACAUGAAAAAAGACAUUGUUAAGAAACUAGCCACUUGGGACUUUACAGAGUAUGGAUUAGCCUAAGAAGUUUUGAAAUGGAUAGUGCAAUGCGUAGGCAGGAGGACAGAAGCGCCAGGUCGGAAUUUGGAGCUCUGGUGGGCCAAAGGAGCUACAAGGGCAUCUCCCAUAUGGUGUUGGAAGAGAACAGAGCUGGCGAAAAUCAAUGUACGGUGAAAUUCUCGUGACCCUCUCCUGUUAAGUCUGCCACGUUCUGUAAGUCUCUAAAAGCACUCGUAAAAUCGAGUCUCUGUACUCUCAAGCCAUCUACUUACAGAGGUAUCUUCAGGCAUUAAAUUGUUUUUAGGUUGUAUAACUUGAGACUCAACCUUUCUUCCGUGGAUAUUUUCCAUGUCAUAUGCUGAAAACUAUAAUAAGUCAGUAAAUUAAUGACCCAAACAAAAGAUAUUUAAUUUCUUUGAUCAAACAUGAUGUGAACUUUGAUCUCACCAUAGAACGUUUUCUGCUGUGGUUUUGUUCCAUUUCUUGCUUUUAUAAGUUUCACUGUAUUCACUCUUACUUUGCAAAGCAUCUUGUCUGGUUCACACUGUAAGAAUUGUGGCAGAACUGUUUUGGUUCCCAACAUAUCAAGGCUUGGCAUAAACAAUUUGUCCAGAAGAAGCCUAAUUAUGUCUGGCUUGGGCUGCCAUGUUAAGUAGGAACAAUUGCGGACUGAGAAGGACUCCUCUCCUGGC
rnacentral:lncRNA from 1 species